CUGGCGGCGGCUUAACACAUGCAAGUCGAACGAAGCCUUCGGGCUUGGUGGCGGACGGGUGAGUAACGCGUGGGAACGUGCCCUUUGCUACGGAAUAGCCCCGGGAAACUGGGUUUAAUACCGUAUAUUCUCUGCGGAGGAAAGAUUUAUCGGCAGAGGAUCGGCCCGCGUUGGAUUAGGUAGUUGGUGGGGUAAUGGCCUACCAAGCCCGCGAUCCAUAGCUGGUUUGAGAGGAUGAUCAGCCACACUGGGACUGAGACACGGCCCAGACUCCUACGGGAGGCAGCAGUGGGGAAUCUUAGACAAUGGGGGAAACCCUGAUCUAGCCAUGCCGCGUGAGCGAUGAAGGCCUUAGGGUUGUAAAGCUCUUUCGCUGGGGAAGAUAAUGACGGUACCCAGUAAAGAAGCCCCGGCUAACUCCGUGCCAGCAGCCGCGGUAAUACGGAGGGGGCUAGCGUUGUUCGGAAUUACUGGGCGUAAAGCGCGCGUAGGCGGAUUGGAAAGUUGGGGGUGAAAUCCCGGGGCUCAACCCCGGAACUGCCUCCAAAACUAUCAGUCUGGAGUUCGAGAGAGGUGAGUGGAAUUGCGAGUGUAGAGGUGAAAUUCGUAGAUAUUCGCAGGAACACCAGUGGCGAAGGCGGCUCACUGGCUCGAUACUGACGCUGAGGUGCGAAAGUGUGGGGAGCAAACAGGAUUAGAUACCCUGGUAGUCCACGCUGUAAACGAUGUCNACUAGUUGUUCGUUUCAUAAAUGAAGUGAGUAACGCAGCUAACGCACUAAGUUGACCGCCUGGGGAGUACGGC
rnacentral:rRNA from 1 species